GCGAGAACAGCCCCGCAGGUCCCGAGGCGCUGGCUGGGGACAAUGCCGCGGAAAGUUCCCAGUCCCCAGCCGCAGAUCUGCAGAAUUGAAAUGAAAUGUUUUGAGCUCUUCAAGCUGACUCGUCAGAAUCCUGGAGCCUUUUAAAAAAUGACGAAGUGCCCAACGUGGAAAUCAUAGAUUUCAAGGAAGGAACAAGAAAAUUGAUGAAACAAGUUCAAAAGAAAGGUACCUGUGCCUCAUCAUUCCUAAAGAACACUGAUCAAUGAUCCCAGAAGUAUGCCAUGUUCUCUUAAUUCAUCAGAGAUUGAAAGCAAAGGAAAAUCAAGAAAUAAGCUUGGCCAAUUUGAUGUCAAUGGAAAUGCGUGAGGUCUUUAUUCAGCAUUCACACCUGAGCAAUGCUUUUGGUCAUGAUGUCGUACUAAAAAGAAACCACCUGAGAUGAGACUGUUAAGAGCAAACAAAAACAAAAACAGACCAACAAAAAAACCCAAAAUGAAACAGAAGUUUCUGAAGGACAGCAGAAAUGGACCACAACAACCACUCCCAGUCAUGAUGCAGAGAAGUGUUCAACACCCACAGAUUCUGAAUGUUGAGCUGAUUAUACUAACUAGAUGGGACUUAGUUUUGUCUACCAUGGGGUGAGCGUAUACUACCUGAGGGAACAGGUUCUCUAUGGUGAAGAUGGCAACUUGCUGACUCAGCCUCAGAAUGCAUUAAAUCCACAUAUUCUGGCAAGUGGAGUUCUGCUUCUCCAAUAUCUCUUCCAGAUUAAGUCUCGAAAGGACUGUAAUUGAUCCACCCUGAGUCAUAUGCCCAUAUCCAAAGCAAUGAGUUUGGAAAAUUUCAUGACACACUCCUAAUUUUGUGGUAGGAGACACAUCAGAACCACACAAUGAGUCAGUCCUAUUUAUGAAAUAGAGGUUCAUCUAUCAGAUGAAAGGGAAAAAAGUUGUAAAAACACAACAGAUGUUCACUAAUGGGGAGCUAUCUGAAUUUCACCUGUAACUACAAAUGCUCAAAAGUAGAUUUACAGUUCUCCUAGAGUGUCAUGAAUUUAAAAACAUAUGCAUGGACUCAUGAAGUAAUAUCCUAAUCACCUCUCUCAACUUUCUGUUGAAUCUCCCUUAACUUAAAAUGAGAAUAUUUUAGCAGCAGGAGAAGGAUCAUUUUUUCAUUUAUAGACCUUUAUCAGACACUAAUGUAGGAUUGAGUUUGACCUGAUACAGUGUUCUAUCUCUGAGUGUUGUCACUCAGUUUUAUCAUAAAUAACAUUUAUUUUAUAUGAUACAUAGAGAACAAAUUUACUUAUUUUUCUCAUGUAAUCAUGUAAUCAAUUGUUCCAACAUAAUCCAUUGAAUAGAUAUUGUGGCAUUUCCCUAAUUAUUUAUAAAGGCACUGUUACUAGAUAUGAGUAUUUAUAUAUGAGGAUAUGAAUCGUGGCUCUCUGAUUUGUUCAUUAUUUGCUUGUCUAUUCCUGUGCCAGUAUCAUACAAUUGGUACUAAUAUAGUGUUCUGAUAUUGACAGGAUAAAGUGCUCCUUCUAAUGAUGUAGCUUUAAAUUUGUCUUGAUUGUGCAUUUCUUUUUAUUCUUCCAUAGAGAUUUGUGGUUCACUUGUCAGCUUUGAAAAUCACUUUUGGGAUUUGAAUUUGAAUUGCAUGAAAUUUGUAGACUAACUUGUAGAAAAUUGACAUUUUUAUGAUAUGAAUUUACACAUCCUUGUAACCAUGGGUGUGUUAUUUAUUUUCACUUUUGAAUAUUAUUAUGGGUAUUUAGUAAUAAAAAUAACAAUCAAUGAGUUACAUGGUGGUUACUAUGUGACAGAUGUUGUCAAAGUUCCAUCCAUAUAUCAACUUAUUAUAUAUUCUUAUGGGAAGAGACCAUUAUUAUCUCCAUUACACAAAUAAGAAAAUCGAGGUACAAAGAGCUUAAGUAACAUGUGCUAAGUCAUAUAAGAGUAAAGCUUUAUUUGAAUCCAUGCAGUUUGUCUCCAGAGCUUGAAAUCCAUUUUAUUUUAUUUUAUUUUUACUUUAAAAAAAAAAAAUUUCGAGACGGGAUCUCGCUUUGUUGCCCAGGCUGGAGUGCAGUGGCACCAUCCCACCUCAUUGCAGCCUCCACCUCCUGGGUUCAAAAAAUUCUCCUGCCUCAGCCUCCCGAGUAGCUGGGACUACAGGUGGGCAGCACCACACCCGGCUAAUUUUUUGUAUUUUUAGUAGAGAACGGGGUUUCACCAUGUUAGCCAGGAUGGUCUCGAUCUCCUGACCUCAUGAUCCACCUGCCUCGGCCUCCCAAAGUGCUGGGAUUACAGGCGUGAGCCACUGCAUCCAGCCUGAAAUAUUUACCAGUAUCUGAUAUUGCCUCCCUAAGAACUUUGCCCAACUCCUUAGUGAUUCUACCAUUGCCUUAGUAUUUUGGAUUUUCUAGUAGACAAUAAUAUCAUGUGUGCAUAAAGCAAAUACAAUUAUUAUUACAAUAAAAUUUUUAAACUACUCAUUUGUACUUGCUUUCAUAAAGCCUUAGCUAAUUCCGACAAAAUAUUGAUUACUGUGGGAGAGAGUGGUAAAUCUUGUUUUGUAUCUAAUAUUAAAUAAAAUGCUACUAAAUAUAAGUGAGAUGCUUGCUAUAAGUUUUAGUAGUUAAACACUGUAAAGUUAUUUCUUGUCUAUUUUCAA